rnacentral:lncRNA from 1 species
CACAGGUGGCAUUCGGGGCGGGGACUGCCCGCCGGCUGCGGGGUGGCGGAGGCGCGGCGCUUGCCUGGGCUCCCCGCGCUUGCCUGGCCCUUCCCAGGUGCCUCCGCGCGCCGGCCGGCCCCAGGCCCCCAGCCUUCGGGGCGCCCAGUGCGCAGGCGCCGGGGGGGGCGCCGAGCGUGUGCGGGGCUGGAGCGCGGUGGGGCGCGUGGCGGCGGCGGCGGCGGCGGGGCGGCGGCCCCGCGGAUUGUCGGCUGGCCGUGCGGAUGGACGGACGGGCCACAAAGCAUGUCGCCCUUCGCCUGCUGAACUCAGAGCGCUCGAGGAUGUCGGCGCUGAGGAAGGUCUGUAUGAGCUGUUGGCUGUUGUGCCAGGCCGGCUGGGGCCACGUGUGGACAGCCAGGAAGACCUGACCUUCCUCUGGGAUAUGUUUGGUGAGAAAAGCCUGCAUUCACCGGUAAAGAAGUUACUCGUCGAGCACCAUUUUCCUUUAGAUCUUCACAAUAUCCUGGGUAGCCUUAUGUUGUGAGGUGGAAGUCUCUACUCUUCUGUGGUAGUGCUAA